rnacentral:rRNA from 1 species
UACGAAGGGUGCUAGCGUUGUUCGGAAUUACUGGGCGUAAAGCGCGCGUAGGCGGUGAUGCAAGUCAGGGGUGAAAUCCCGGAGCUUAACUCCGGAACUGCCUUUGAAACUGCAUUGCUGGAGUGUGUGAGGGGAUAGCGGAAUUCCUAAUGUAGAGGUGAAAUUCGUAGAUAUUAGGAGGAACACCGGUGGCGAAGGCGGCUAUCUGGCACACAACUGACGCUGAGGCGCGAAAGCGUGGGGAUCAAACGGG